rnacentral:hammerhead_ribozyme from 1 species
AUCCAAGCUGACGAGUCCCAAAUAGGACGAAACGCGCGUCCUGGAU